UACGUAGGCAGCGAGCGUUGUUCGGAGUUACUGGGCGUAAAGCGUGCGUAGGCGGUUCCAUAAGUCUGUUGUGAAAUCUCCCGGCUUAACUGGGAGGGUGCGGUGGAUACUGUGGAGCUGGAGUACCGGAGAGGUAGGCGGAAUUCCUGGUGUAGCGGUGAAAUGCGUAGAUAUCAGGAGGAACACCUGUGGUGUAGACGGCCUGCUGGACGGUGACUGACGCUGAGGCACGAAAGCGUGGGUAGCAAACAGG
rnacentral:rRNA from 1 species